rnacentral:rRNA from 1 species
AUUGAACGCUGGCGGCAGGCCUAACACAUGCAAGUCGAACGAGUGGCGGACGGGUGAGUAAUGUCUGGGAAACUGCCUGAUGGAGGGGGAUAACUACUGGAAACGGUAGCUAAUACCGCAUCACAUCGGAUGUGCCCAGAUGGGAUUAGCUAGUCGGUGGGGUAAAGGCUCAACUAGGCGACGAUCCCUAGCUGGUCUGAGAGGAUGACCAGCAACACGGGAACUGAGACACGGUCCAGACUCCUACGGGAGGCAGGAGUGGGGAAGAUGGCACAAUGGGCGCAAGCCGGAUGCAGCCAUGCCGAGUGUAUGAAGAAGGCCUUCGGGUUGUAAAGUACUUUCAGCGGGGAGGCGUUACCCGCAGAAGAAGCACCGGCUAACUCCGUGCCAGCAGCCGCGGUAAUUC